AGGAAGGAAAAAAAAGCUCAUAUAAAAUUAAGUAUGCCGCGCAUACUCUUAUUCUUCACUUCUUCACUGGGCAUACUCUUAUUCUUCACUGUACAUCCCCUCGAAAUUUUGUUCUUCUUGUGUUCUUCAUUCCGCCAGUAACCCAAACUGCAGCGACUCCCCCUCCUCAACUCUGGUCGGCAGCAGCUCCUUCCCAUUACGGAUUGUAGUGUAAUACGGAUUCUCCUCAAAUCCGCGUCAGAGGAGUGAUUGAGAGUUUGAGAUAUAAUUGGGCUCAUUUGCUUAUAGAAUUAGAAAAGUCUAUGAGAGUGCAAAGAUUGGAGCUGCAAGGAACGAUUCCAAAAGAAAUUACAACUUCAAAAUUCUUGACAUAUUUGAAGAUCAACUUGAAUCACUUUUCAGAGACUUUGCCAGCAUUCUUGGGAAACUUUUAUGUAAUAGAACAAAUAUCAAGGGCACAAUGUGAUACAGAGUUAUUGAAGGAGCUUCAAAUCUUUAGAGAAGUCUUCAAAUCUUUAGGGAAGUCUUCAAACUUACAGAGUUAUUAAUGCAUGUGGUCUAUUAAAUUAAAAAGGAUUCAGUAUAUAUUAAAAAGGAUGACAGUGGUCUUUGCUAGUAUGUAUUUUAGUAUGUAUGGUAGUGGUAAAACAACUCAGGUUAGUAUGUAUGUUAUUAACAUAUUAUUUUUCAUUACAAUUUGUUGUGUACUGGAAAUUACGAUUAGAAGAACAGUUUAAAGCUUGGGAAUUGUUAAUGAUUCAAACUUUGUUUAAACAUAACAAAUAAAUACAAGCAUUCCUCCAAAAAAAUUUAAAAGAAAACAUGAAAAACUACAUUACAGUCUGAAGUAUUGUGAUACUAAUAUAGAUUUCUCUUGAACCUCACCUGGACCUGGGAAUUCUGUGAAAAAGAAAAUAAGUCUAUAUUACAUCAAAUGUCUUACUCUAUCUAUUCUGAAAUGUAGAGUCCAGUUUGUUUGGUUGUCUUUAGUAACAACUAAGAAUCCAGAUAAACAAUUAAGUAUCAAAAUCAAGCUUAAAAUAGGGACAAUAAGACUUCACUUUGUUUUACCAGGCUACCAGGGGAGAGGGAUGAAAUUUUGCAAACGGCUGACUAUAUAUUGAGAUAAUAAGUAAUGAAAUUUACAUUUGUUGUGUUUCUUUUCAUGCAUAUAUUCCAGUCACUUUGCAUGGUCUUCAAACAUAACAGUAUCAUCAGUGUGUGAUAUGAUAUAAUCUUGGUCUCCAACUCUCAUUUUGUUUAAUUUUAAAGAACCUUGUUAAAUAAAACAUGGCACGGAGUACGUUCAAGUUUGAUCAUUUAAUAAGCCGAUCUUAUCAACUUCUUGUCUUCUAUUGACUAUGAAAAGUAGCCAGUCUUAGAUAAGUUUAAGUUUCUAAGUUUAUUCAUACAUGAAGACAAAUUUUCAAUAAACGCUACUCACUAGCAUUAUAGGCUUUCCGAAUCAUUUCUUGGCUUCAUGCUCCUGAUAAGAUAAAAUUAUGCAUGUUACACAUCAGAGUCUCACUCUUUGGAUAUAUAAGGGAAAUUUUUUCUUGUAUUUAUUUGUUCUGUUUAAACAGAGUUUGAACAGUUUACUGGAAGUAGGUGUCGUUGCAGGUCUAACAAGUAAGAAUAAUUAUUUGUCCUUUGACUAUUUUACUCUUAUAAAACAGUAUCUUUUGUCGUUUUCAUUCAAGGCCUCCCAUAACUUUUCAACCCCAGAAAUAUUGAACUAUGUACAAUCAUAAAUUAUAUAAGUUAGCAAUAGAAUAUAAAGAAUAAUAAAUAUAUAAAUAAAUAAAUAAAACAAAUGGUGUCAGUUUCACUUUAUUGACUCAGAAACUUCAAAUGGGGCUUAUAGAUUAAUUUUAUUUUGAAGGUUUUGGGUGGAAAUAUUAGCAAGGAUCAUUGUCAAGUGAAUUAAUUUGCUUGAUUAUUGUUAAUUGCAAGAGGUAUGGAUGUUUUCUUAUUUUUUUUUUAUAAAUAUUAUUAUAAAAAUGUUAGAGGAGUUUGAAUAUCUUAAAUAUUCAUCCAUAGUGAAGUAGGUUCUGUGAUUAAAAUUGAGUGUUGCGGUGAUAAUGGAAGGUUGAGAACUUGUGUGUUUUAGUGAAGUAGUUUCUGGGAAAUUUAUUUGUGUGCUGCGGAGAUAUAAGGAAGAAACUUAUUGUGUGUUGUUUGAAUUGCUUGGUUCUCUAUUGACAGAUGGUUAGGUCACUAUUACAAGGGAAAUGUUGCCCAAAUUCAUCUAGAAUUAUGUUUUAUUUUUUUAUAUUUAAAUUAUGUUGUGCUUGCAUUGUUCUUGUUUGAUUGGUAUAGGGAAGCUCUAUCAAAAUUUAAGUUAAGAAGAUAGUGUAUUAAUAGGAAUAUGACAGCACUAAAAAUUUGUUAUGGGAAUUUUCUACGUGCAGGAGGAUUUUAGUCCAAUUUUAGGGAAACCUCUGUCGAAUUUUUUCUAGGAAAUGGACAAGAGUUGGAUAACAAAGGACAAACUUUCAAAAGAGUAUGAAGAGGGAGUCGACAACUUUAUUAAGUUAGCGUUAGAAAAUACAACAGAUCCUUCCAGAGUUCAUUGUCUCUGUAGAAAAUGUUCAAAUUUGAAAAAAUUAGACAUAAUGGAGAUAAAAAAUCAUCUAUACUUUAACAAAAUGGACCAAACAUAUGUCAAGUGGAUUUGGCAUGGUGAAGAAUAUGACUCUAACAAUAAUGUUCCCAAUGAAAGAAAGCAAUUUGAUCAAGUGUUUGAUGACCCUAUAGAGAUGGUGAGAGAUGCAGAUGAGCGUUUUGUUGAUAAGCCUGAAGAAUUUUUGAAAUUUUUAGAAGAUGCAGAGAAACCAAUAUUCUCAGGGGCACCUUUGUCAAAAUUGGUUGUUUUAGUAAAACUAUACAACUUGAAAGCUAGUAGUGGUUGGAGUGACACAAGUUUCAUAAAGUUAUUAACUUUAUUAAAAGAAAUUUUACCAAAAGACAAUGAAUUGCCUUCCUCGCUUUAUGAAGCAAAAAAAACAUUGUGCACAUUAGGAAUGGAGUAUAGCAAGAUUCACGCUUGUUCAAAUGAUUGCAUUCUAUAUCGAAAUCAAUAUGAGAGUGCAACUGAGUGCCCCGUAUGUAAAACAUCUAGAUGGAAAAAAAAAUAAGAACAACAAAGAAUGUAAGAAAGGGAUUCCAGCAAAAGUAUUGUGGUAUUUGCCGCCAAUACCUAGGUUUAUACGUUUGUUUCGAAAUCCUAAACAUGCUUAAAGUCUGCGAUGGCAUGAGGAUGGAAGGAUCAAAGAUGACAAAUUGCGCCAUCCAGCUGAUUCCCCAGCUUGGAAAGAAGUGGAUGAACUAUGGCCUCAAAUAAGAGAAGAUCCUAGAAACCUUCAACUUGGUCUUUCUGCUGAUGGCAUCAAUCCAUUCAGCAAUAUGAGCUCAUAAGGGAAAGCAUUGGAUGCUUAUAAUAAUUGAUUUUGAUCACCAAUUGUGCUAUUUUCUGAAUUCUCUUCACAAUUUUCCACCAGAUGAAAUCAAAUCUCUCAUUUCUCAUGUCUUUCAACAUUUACGCACAAAUAAUGCAAAAACUAAGGAAGUCGCGUGGAGAACAGUUAAGUGUCCUCGUCAACCAUUACAAUCAUUACAAUGUGGGUUCUAUGUUAUGAGGAUGAUGAAGGACUUCGUGACAAAUGAGUUUUCAAUGCGAUGGCUAACUAGUAAUUGUGGUGGGAAGAACUAUUACACAAAGGAUGAGAUCAAUGAAGUACGUGAAGAAUGGGUACAAUGCGUCAUGGAUUUGAUGAGUACUACAUAGGUCCACUCACUUUUGUUAACUUAGACUUUUAAUGAGAUAUACUUACAAUGUUAACUUAGACUUUCUUGAAGAUAUACACACUUUUGUUGCCUAACUAUAGUUUACAAUGCUUAUGUGAGUCAUUUUGUAAUUAACGUAAGACUCGUUAUUCUA